rnacentral:tRNA from 1 species
GGAGGAGUCGCAUAGUUCGGUCCAUUGCGGCGGUUUGCUAAACCGCUGAGGGGUUUAUCCCCCUCACGUGGGUUCGAAUCCCACCUCCUCCGCCA